rnacentral:rRNA from 1 species
AUGUGGACCGGUGCUCCAGCUUCAUCAGCCUUCCGCGUCGGCGAGCGACGACCAAGCGCCAGCAGCUCUUCCCUUUCCUCCCCCACUCCCACGGACGGACGGGACAGGGAAAGGGCCGACCGACGCGCAUCUCGUCGCCUCGCUCCGCCGACCCGCUCCCCUCCUCCUCCCAGGCCAUCCCUCGCCAUGGAGGAAGCGAAAGUUGUGGAGUCCAAUGACGGGGCUACCUCGGUUGCUUCUGCAUUUCCUGGUCACCCGGAAGCUGCACAAGAUAGAGAUCACAAGUUCUUAUCGACAGCGGUAGAAGAAGCUUACCGAGCAGUCGACUGUGGCCACGGACGGCCAUUUGGCGCAGUCGUAGUCCGCAACGACGAAGUGGUAGUCAGUUGCCAUAACAUGGUUUUGAAGAACACCGAUCCAACUGCACAUGCUGAAGUAACUGCAAUAAGAGAGGCUUGCAAAAAGCUUGGCAAGAUUGACUUGUCGGAUUGCGAAAUGUAUGCAUCCUGCGAACCUUGUCCAAUGUGUUUUAGCGCCGUUCAUCUAUCCCGGAUCAAGAGGCUGGUGUAUGGAGCCAAGGCAGAAGCUGCUGUUGCCAUUGGAUUUGACGCCUUCAUUGCUGAUGCUCUCGGAGGAACUGGGCACUACCGUACGGCCAACCUGGAGAUAAAGCGAGCAGAUGGGAAUGGAGCCCUGCUUGCUGAACAGGUCUUUGAGAACACCAAGGGGAAAUUUCGAUUGAAAUAA